UACGGGGGGAGCAAGCGUUGUUCGGAUUUACUGGGCGUAAAGGGCGCGUAGGCGGCGUAACAAGUCACUUGUGAAAUCUCCGGGCUUAACCCGGAGCGGCCAAGUGAUACUGUUGUGCUAGAGUGCGGAAGGGGCUACUGGAAUUCUCGGUGUAGCGGUGAAAAGCGUAGAUAUCUGGAGGAACACCAGUGGCGAAGGCGGCAUCCUGGGCCAAUUCUGACGCUGAGUGAGCGAAAGCCAGGGGAGCAAACGGG
rnacentral:rRNA from 1 species